GAGGAAAAAGGAUUUGUUCUCCAAAAACAUCAAAAGCUUGAUGUCUCUAAGUCUCUUCACCAAGGUUGUAUCUUGUGAAGAUGGAAUGGAUGACUAAAGGAAGAAGAGAUUGCUAGAUGUCCCCUCCUUUAGUGGCCGGCCUCCUUAGAAGAAAAUGGAGAAAAUGUUUCACCCAAUUUCAACAAGAAAAACCCUAAUGAGAAAAUAGUUAUAAAGUUGCUUUUAUAACCUUUUCUUUGGUGAGUGGCAAACUUGUAAUUAAGCAAACUUUGCCAAUCCACCCUUAUGGCCGGCCAUCCUUUGUUAUUGGGCUAAUUUGCCCAUUUUGUUUUAGUUGUCAUACAACUUGAACAUAAUGGGCCUUUUGGACCAAAACGCUUUUGGGCCCCGAAACCCAAAACCAACAUAUAAGCCCAAUACGA
rnacentral:lncRNA from 1 species